rnacentral:hammerhead_ribozyme from 1 species
AUCCAGCCGAGGGGUCCCAAAUAGGAUGGAAGGCGUGUCCUGCAU